rnacentral:rRNA from 1 species
AUUGAACGCUGGCGGAAUGCUUUACACAUGCAAGUCGGGCGGCAGCGCGGGGGCAACCCUGGCGGCGAGCGGCGAACGGGUGAGUAAUACAUCGGAACGUGUCCUUAAGUGGGGGAUAGCUCGGCGAAAGCCGGAUUAAUACCGCAUAAGCUCUGAGGAGGAAAGCGGGGGAUCGUCUAGAAACUGGAUACUAGAGACUGGAAACUGGAUUAAUGAGAUGCGGCUUUGCCGCGCCUUAUCAGUCUAGUCUCUGGUUUCUAGUCUCUAGUUUCUAGACGACCUCGCGCUGUUGGAGCGGCCGAUGUCGGAUUAGCUAGUUGGUGGGGUAAAGGCUCACCAAGGCGACGAUCCGUAGCUGGUCUGAGAGGAUGAUCAGCCACACUGGAACUGAGACACGGUCCAGACUCCUACGGGAGGCAGCAGUGGGGAAUUUUGGACAAUGGGGCAACCCUGAUCCAGCCAUUCCGCGUGAGU